rnacentral:rRNA from 1 species
CAAUAGCGUAUAUUAAAGUUGUUGCAGUUAAAAAGCUCGUAGUUGGAUUUCGGGGCAGCCUGCCUGGUCCACCGCAAGGUGAGUACUGGUCAGCCGCCCUUCCUCUCGAAAGCCCCGACUGCUCUUCAUUGCAGUGGUCGGGUAGUUCGGGACGUUUACUUUGAAAAAUUAGAGUGUUCAAGGCAGGCUAUCGCCUGAAUACAUUAGCAUGGAAUAAUGGAAGAGGACCUCGGUCCUAUUUUGUUGGUUUCUAGGGCCGAAGUAAUGAUUAAGAGGGACAGUUGGGGGCAUUCAUAUUCCAAUGUCAGAGGUGAAAUUCUUGGAUUAUCGGAAGAUGAACUUCUGCGAAAGCAUCUGCCAAGGAUGUUUUCAUUGAUCAAGAACGAAAGUUAGGGAUCGAAGACGAUCAGAUACCAU